GACGAACGCUGGCGGCGUGCUUAACACAUGCAAGUCGAACGAUGAAGCUGGAGCUUGCUCUGGCGGAUUAGUGACGAACGGGUGAGUAACACGUGAGAAAUCUGCCCUUGACUCUGGGAUAACUGCGGGAAACUGUAGCUAAUACCGGAUACUUUCCCUGGUGGGCAUCCACUGGGGAAGAAAGAAUUUCGGUCAAGGAUGAUCUCGCGGCCUAUCAGCUUGUUGGUGAGGUAAUGGCUCACCAAGGCCACGACGGGUAGCCGUCCUGAGAGGGUGACCGGCCACACUGGGACGGAGACACGGCCCAGACUCCUACGGGAGGGAGCAGUGGGGAAUAGUGCACAAUGGGCGCAAGCCUGGUGCAGCAACGCCGCGUGAGGGAUGAAGGCCUUCGGGUUGUAAACCUCUUUUAGCAGGGAAGAAGCGAAAGUGACGGUACCUGCAGAAAAAGCACCGGCUAACUACGUGCCAGCAGCCGCAGUAA
rnacentral:rRNA from 1 species